rnacentral:piRNA from 1 species
ACCUGGUAUUGCAGUACCUCCAG